GCCCGGCUAGCUCAAUCGGUAGAGCGUGGGACUCUUAAUCUCAAGGUUGUGGGUUCGACCCCCACGUCGGGCU
rnacentral:tRNA from 1 species